rnacentral:rRNA from 2 species
UAUCCUGUCUGAAUAUGGGGGGACCAUCCUCCAAGGCUAAAUACUCCUGACUGACCGAUAGUGAACCAGUACCGUGAGGGAAAGGCGAAAAGAACCCCGGCGAGGGGAGUGAAAAAGAACCUGAAACCGUGUACGUACAAGCAGUGGGAGCCCCACCACCAAAGCAUUUGCUGUACCGCGUUGACGGAGCGAAGCGACGUCAAACCGAUAAAACAGCAGUGUAAAGUGAGCCGCAGGGCGCUUUGCGCGACAGCGCAAAGGCAGGCGGUUUCGCGUAGCGAAAGCGAAUGCUUUGGGGUGGGGUGACUGCGUACCUUUUGUAUAAUGGGUCAGCGACUUAUAUUCUGUAGCAAGGUUAACCGAAUAGGGGAGCCGGAGGGAAACCGAGUCUUAAUUGGGCGUUAAGUUGCAGGGUAUAGACCCGAAACCCGGUGAUCUAGCCAUGGGCAGGUUGAAGGUUGGGUAACACUAACUGGAGGACCGAACCGACUAAUGUUGAAAAAUUAGCGGAUGACCUGUGGCUGGGGGUGAAAGGCCAAUCAAACCGGGAGAUAGCUGGUUCUCCCCGAAAGCUAUUUAGGUAGCGCCUCGUGAAUUCAUCUCCGGGGGUAGAGCACUGUUUCGGCUAGGGGGCCAUCCCGGCUUACCAACCCGAUGCAAACUGCGAAUACCGGAGAAUGUUAUCACGGGAGACACACGGCGGGUGCUAACGUCCGUCGUGAAGAGGGAAACAACCCAGACCGCCAGCUAAGGUCCCAAAGUCAUGGUUAAGUGGGAAACGAUGUGGGAAGGCCCAGACAGCCAGGAUGUUGGCUUAGAAGCAGCCAUCAUUUAAAGAAAGCGUAAUAGCUCACUGGUCGAGUCGGCCUGCGCGGAAGAUGUAACGGGGCUAAACCAUGCACCGAAGCUGCGGCAGCGACACUGUGUGUUGUUGGGUA